rnacentral:rRNA from 1 species
GUGGGGAAUUUUGGACAAUGGGGGCAACCCUGAUCCAGCCAUCCCGCGUGUGCGAUGAAGGCCUUCGGGUUGUAAAGCACUUUUGGCAGGGAAGAAAAGUUUCGGGCUAAUACCCUGGAGCGAUGACGGUACCUGCAGAAUAAGCACCGGCUAACUACGUGCCAGCAGCCGCGGUAAUACGUAGGGUGCAAGCGUUAAUCGGAAUUACUGGGCGUAAAGCGUGCGCAGGCGGUUCGGAAAGAAAGAUGUGAAAUCCCAGGGCUUAACCUUGGAACUGCAUUUUUAACUGUCGAACUCGAGUAUGUCAGAGGGGGGUAGAAUUCCACGUGUAGCAGUGAAAUGCGUAGAGAUGUGGAGGAAUACCGAUGGCGAAGGCAGCCCCCUGGGAUAAUACUGACGCUCAUGCACGAAAGCAUGGGGAGCAAACAGGAUUAGAAACCCUGGUAGUCC